rnacentral:rRNA from 1 species
CUACCAUGGCAGUCACGGGUAACGGAGAAUUAGGGUUCGAUUCCGGAGAGGGAGCCUGAGAAACGGCUACCACAUCUACGGAAGGCAGCAGGCGCGAAAAUUGCCCAAUCCUGACACGGGGAGGCAGUGACAAGAAAUAACAACUCUAGGUUUUCUUAGAAGUGUAAUGAGGAUAAUUUACGAACCUUACCGAAUGCAAUUGGAGGGCAAGUCUGGUGCCAGCAGCCGCGGUAAUUCCAGCUCCAAUAGCGUAUAUUAAAGUUGUUGCAGUUAAAAAGCUCAUAGUUGAAGUUCUGAUUGUUCGGGUUUCUAGACAUUAGUCGGAGAUACUGACAGUCAUCCGCUUGCAAACAUAUGUUCGAUCUUUACCGGUUGGCUAUGUGAGUAAGCAUUUUACCUUGAGAAAAACAGAGUGUUCCAGGCAGGUUUGUCCGGAAUGCAUUAGCAUGGAAUAAUAGAAUAUGACUGAAGUCUAUUUAUUGGUUACAGGCUUUAGUAAUGAUUAAUAGGAACAGUCGGGGGCAUUCGUACUCAGCAGUCAGAGGUGAAAUUCUAAGAUUUGCUGAAGACGAACUAAUGCGAAAGCAUUUGCCAAGGAUGUUUUCAUUAAUCAAGAACGAAAGUUAGGGGAUC